GGGUAUUCCCUCUGAGAUGACCCAGAUGACCCAGAUCUCCUGGCUCUGCCUCUGAGGCUGUUGCUAUGUCCUUAGUCUAGUCAGCCCCACAGGGCCCCGGGUGUACAUGGUGCUCAUGCACGGACACAUGGGUCCAGGUCACGGGGCCACUCUGUCUCUGGCUUGUAUCCACGGUACCUAGACCAUGAGUCUUCUACUGCAGACAGGUAGUCUCUGUACAUUAAACCCUACGUCCAAGUAGGUAUAUGUUGCAUUGUUAUGGUCAUUUGGGCUAAAAUGUGGGUCCCAAUAGUCCUAUCUUGCACACCUAUAAUACAGUGUAUAUAAUGCGAUAUAAUAAUCUGUAG